rnacentral:rRNA from 1 species
UACGAAGGGGGCUAGCGUUGCUCGGAAUCACUGGGCGUAAAGGGUGCGUAGGCGGGUCUCUAAGUCAGGGGUGAAAUCCUGGAGCUCAACUCCAGAACUGCCUUUGAUACUGAAGAUCUUGAGUUCGGGAGAGGUGAGUGGAACUGCGAGUGCAGAGGUGAAAUUCGUAGAUAUUCGCAAGAACACCAGUGGCGAAGGCGGCUCACUGGCCCGAUACUGACGCUGAGGCACGAAAGCGUGGGGAGCAAACAGG